UUGGUCUGAGAGGAUGGUCAGCCACACUGGGACUGAGACACUGCCCAGACUCCUACGGGAGGCUGCAGUCGAGGAUCAUUCGCAAUGCGCGAAAGCGUGACGAUGCGACGCCGCGUGGAGGAUGAAGGCCUUCGGGUCGUAAACUCCUGUCAAGAGGGAACAAUCCCCGGGACGUUAAUACCGUUUCGGGUUGAUGGUACCUCUAAAGGAAGCCACGGCUAACUCUGUGCCAGCAGCCGCGGUAAUACAGAGGUGGCGAGCGUUGUUCGGAUUUACUGGGCGUAAAGGGUGCGUAGGCGGCUUCGUAUGUCGGAUGUGAAAGCUCAGGGCUCAACCCUGAAAUGACAUCCGAAACUGCGUGGCUAGAGUACUGGAGAGGAGAGCGGAAUUCUCGGUGUAGCGGUGAAAUGCGUAGAUAUCGAGAGGAACGCCGGUGGCGAAGGCGGCUCUCUGGACAGAUACUGACGCUGAGGCACGAAAGCUGGGGGAGCAAACAGGAUUAGAUACCCUGGUAGUCCCAGCCGUAAACGGUGUGCACUUGGUGUGGGGGAAUUAUCCCCUUCCGCGCCGGAGCUAACGCGUUAAGUGCACCGCCUGGGGAGUACGGCCGCAAGGCUAAAACUCAAAGGAAUUGACGGGGGCCCGCACAAGCGGUGAGCGUGUGGCUUAAUUCGAUGCAACGCGAAGAACCUUACCAGGGCUUGACAUGCCCGUCGUAUCCUAUCGAAAGACUGGAGUCAGUUCGGCUGGACGGUGCACAGGUGCUGCAUGGCUGUCGUCAGCUCGUGCCGUGAGGUGUUGGGUUAAGUCCCGCAACGAGCGCAACCCUUGUGGUUAGUUGCCACCUCCAAGGAAACGCGGAGAGCACUCUAACCAGACUGCCUGUGACAAGCAGGAGGAAGGUGGGGAUGACGUCAAGUCAGUAUGGUCCUUAUGCCCUGGGCUGCACACGUGCUACAAUGGGCGGUACAGAUGGAUGCAAAACCGCGAGGUGGAGCAAAUCCCCAAAGCCGUCCUCAGUUCGGAUCGGAGUCUGCAACUCGACUCCGUGAAGCCGGAAUCGCUAGUAAAGGCGUAUCAGCUACGACGCCUUGAAUACGUUCCCGGGCCUUGUACACACCGCCCGUCACAUCACGAAAGCUGACUGCACCCGAAGUCGCUGAUCCAACUGUUUACAGAGGAAGGUGCCGAAGGUGUGGUUGGUGAUUGGGAUGAAGUCGUAACAAGGUA
rnacentral:rRNA from 1 species